CAGUCGCCGCGGGAAUACGAAGGGUGCAAGCGUUAAUCGGAAUUACUGGGCGUAAAGCGUGCGUAGGCGGUUUGUUAAGUCUGUUGUGAAAUCCCCGGGCUCAACCUGGGAAUGGCAAUGGAUACUGGCAAGCUAGAGUGUGUCAGAGGAUGGUGGAAUUCCCGGUGUAGCGGUGAAAUGCGUAGAGAUCGGGAGGAACAUCAGUGGCGAAGGCGGCCAUCUGGGACAACACUGACGCUGAGGCACGAAAGCGUGGGGAGCAAACAGGAUUAGAUACCCCUGUAGUCCCUGUCUCUUAUAA
rnacentral:rRNA from 1 species